UACGUUGAAUUUGUUCGAUUGUUAAAAAUAAUAAUGUAAUUCACAAUAAAAGAAUAACAAAUCUUUAAAUUUUACAAUAUACGUGAUAGAGAAUGAAAGAAAACCUAAUUAAUUUAAAUCUUUAAGUUGAAUUUGUUCGGUUGUUGGAAAAAAAAAUGUAAUUAACAAAAAAAGAAUGAAAAAAUCUUUAAAUUUUACAAUAUACAUGACAAAGAAGGAAAGAAAACCUAAUUAGUUAUUCAACUUAAAAUCGCAAAAUUACAUUUGAUUCUGAUAUGUGUUAAGAUUCCUGGCCUCUUAUUGUGUCCUUGAAGUGAUUAUGAAUCUCAUAAAUAUGCAUAGGUGUUCUUGUAUUUUUUAGACACUGAGCUUUAUUAUGUUCAAUGUAGAGAAGGUUAGAUAGGCGUCUUUGCAUGCCUUAGUCUCUGUGUGAGAACAUCAGUGGAACCAACUAUUUUGCAAGGUUCACAGGACUAAUCUUUUUGUUUAUACUUGUGUAAUUAAAUCCCUUUUCAAUUUUUUUCUUAAGAUACGUGGGGCUUGACUCCCAGAUACCUUGCUAUGAAAUCAAUCCAAGGCUGAUAUCAAGUGAGGGCACCUUAAACUUAUUUUGAUACUGCCUCAUCUGAGCAAUUAUAGUUUAUUAACUUUUCUAUAUUGUUGUUUAUACUUCACCCGUAACUAAAUUGUGAAGAAUUGCAGGGAGCAUAUGGUGAAGAUUAUCUAGUCAAGUACAGAAGUUGCUGCAAAAACUAUUCGGUCUUCCAUUGCAUCAGAUCCAAGAGUGAGGUGUUCUUUCAUGAAGUAAUUGGGUUUGCGGCAUACAUUGUGCCACCCUAAUAUAGUGCAGUUCCUUGGUGUCCUAAAGCAUUCUGAGCGCUUGAUCUUUCUCACAGAGUAUUUUCACAAUCUGGGUUUUGCAUUUUUAAUUUAAAAAAGAGGAAGAAUAGAUCCGCCAACAGCAGUUUCGUAUGCAAGGCAACUUUUCCCAACAUUUUUUAUCCUGAAGUUUAUUGCAAGGAGGGCAACUCAAGGUAGAAGACUUUGGAUUAAGCAAAAUUGCGCAAGCAAAAGAUUCAUAUGGUUACAAAAUGACUGGAGAAACAAGUUCAUGUAAAUAUUCUUAGUUCAUCGUAAGUUUAUACAAUUAUUUAAUUUAACUAGUCAAUUAGAACUGUAAAACGUGUGCCAAAUCAUUAAAUAACACCUGAGGUUUAUCAUUGAGAAUCAUAUGGGAAUAGUGUUGAUAUCUUCUCCUUUGUAGUAAUUGUCUAUGAUGUAAUUUAUCUGUUGGAAAAUUAUUUGUAAUAUCAAGCCCAAUGUUCCAACUAGUCAAGCAGAUAACUUAUCUAGCCUAGCUAGUUUCUCAUUAUGCACGGCAGAUAGCAGACAGGCGAGCUCAUGAAGAUUCCAGACCACAUCUAUCAACUUUAUACCCAGAGCCAGUCAAGGCGUCAGUUCUCUGAGAUGACUCAUCUCAAACUGUUAACAAUCUUUAACAUACUCAGUUAUUGCAUAUGGCAUAGCAGUUUUCAGCCUCAUAAGAUGGAGCAAAAAAUUGUGAAAGAAAUGCGGAGCCCAGCUGAGUUGGUACUUAUAGUAUUUGGGACACCAAUUAUAUAAUGUGGGUUUGAGAGACAGUUAGGAAUAAUACAAGAUGAAGCUGAUUAAUGAUAUAGAAUUUAAUUGUCAUGCUGGAUACUUUGUUAAUAACUUUCAUUAGAACUUGUCUGUAACAUGAUUAAAUAUUGUUCUAUACUGCUAUCGUUUGAAUUAGGCUUCUUCGGGAUUGGUGGCACAAGAAUCCAAAUUGUUGACCAACAUUUGAAGAAAUAAUCUCAUGGCUUGAGAUUAUCCAAGAUAUUUUGGAAAAGAAGAAAUCCGGUUCAUUGUGCUGUAGUUGCCCCAUCUUUUAAGAAUUGAAGUGAACAAUAAUAUCUCAAAGAGGAUCAAUUAAAAGUUUGUAUAAAAAGAUUAAUCACAAUAUCUCGAAGAAGAUCAAUCAUAGGAAGAUCGAUGAUCACACCUUGACAUCCAAUCUACUUUUUGUAGCUAGUUGAGUUUGGGCUGUUCUUUUUAAGAUGAUUCUUUGCAUUUGUUUAAUUGCUGUAUUCAAGACAUGGACGGUUUGACAACAGUAUUUCCCAGUACACUUAUUCAUGGCUUCCCUUAUUUGUUUA